AAAUGCAUUUUUAUUACUGCUUAUAUGUACAUAUGUAUGCACAUAGAUAUAGAUUCAGAGAAGCGCGACUUUGCUAUGAGCUUUUUAUUUAGGUUAUAACGAAGGUGUUUGCUCUCUUUUUAGGUAGAAAAGCAUGAAUGAAUGAAUGACUAUUAUAUAGUGCUAUACCCGCUACCCAUAGGAUAGAAGGGUAUUAUAACUUUUUGCCGACAGGAAAUGUAUAUAACAGGUAGAAGGAGGCAUCUCCGACCCUAUAAAGUAUAUAUAUUCUUGAUCAGCGUCAACAGUCGAGACGAUCUAGCCAUGUCCGUCUUGAGGAUGUCUCUGUAGAUACUUUGGGAAACUCAAUUGCUUGGUUGCCUCGCCGUACUUCAAGAUUACUCUUGUGUUUUUUUGUUUCAACGUGGGAUUUUAAGUGCAUUUACAUUCAUGUGCACUUACAAUAUUUACAAAAUGCUUUUGCUUUGUUAGUCAAAUCUUUCGUAAUACAGUCCUUAAAUUGGGGAUCUUGCGACCAAGCUCCGCAAACUUUUUGUUUAUACAUUUUAGAAAUAUUUUGCAAACGAUCACCGCACAAAUUUGAAUUUGAAUGUAGGGAUGGCAGCAUUGCCAGAUAACCAAAAACUACAAAGGGUAAAUAAUAUUUUAAUAUUUAAAAUACACAAUUCAAUCACGCUGGGCGGUAGAUGUGCAAAUUAUUUUAGGUCAUGCAAAAUAGCCAAAUCUGUCUAGAAAAUAGUUAAGUCUGCAACAUUGGCUACGAUCAGCAAAAUAAAUCAGAUUUACGAAAAUCCCUGCUCCAUUCGGCUCCAUUCUUAUUGUGGUUGUUACUUGGAAUAUCAUAAAUGGAGCUUAAUUUUAUUACCUUAACCACUUGCCACACACAACAAGUCAACAUGCAUUUCUAUUGAUUUGUUAACUAUGAAUAUGAAGUUGUUGGCUUUGUGCAUCGAUCGCUGUUCGAAAUAUGAGCCACUAACAAUAACAACAAAUAAAAU